CAUAAUUUUAAUUUCAUGUUCUUCGCUUUUAUUCUCUUGUAAUAAGUGAAUUUUAUAUAAUUGUUUGGUUGCGCGUUCUGAUUUCUUGUUGCAGAGGAAAUCAUGACUGCUGUUCUUCACAAGCUAUGGGACGGAACGCUUGCAGGCCCUAUGUCAGACACCGGCUUCGGAAUGCUUCGCAAGCAUGAUUCCUUUUCGGUGUCGGAAUCGCCUCUGGUUAAGAUUUUCGGUGACAUUCCUGUAACUCGGAGCAUCUUCAUUCUCAGGAGUAACUCCGAUUUUCUGGAGCUUCUCGGAUGAUCGUAAUGGAAGGAUGAUUGAUUUUCCCGCGGGAAUAACCUCCUUUCACUCCGGUGACGCCUGAAGGUGAUCUGACGAGAUUCCCAUGGAAAAGAUCGGCUGAAUUGGAACAAGACGGUUAGAAAGGUUGCCUUGAGUUUCUCGAUCAGAUCGGCGGUGCCCUCAGCUCCACCUUCUCGGACGGACACUCCAAUCUUCUCUUCCAUAGCCAUCAGGAUCUUAA